rnacentral:rRNA from 1 species
CUACGGGUGGCAGCAGUGGGGAAUAUUGCACAAUGGGGGAAACCCUGAUGCAGCAACGCCGCGUGGAGGAUGACGCAUUUCGGUGUGUAAACUCCUUUUAUAUAGGAAGAUAAUGACGGUACUAUAUGAAUAAGCACCGGCUAACUCCGUGCCAGCAGCCGCGGUAAUACGGAGGGUGCAAGCGUUACUCGGAAUCACUGGGCGUAAAGCGCGCGCAGGCGGCCCCUUAAGUUGGAUGUGAAAGCCUACGGCUUAACCGUAGAACUGCAUCCAAAACUGAGGGGCUAGAGUCUGGGAGGGGAAGAUGGAAUUAGUUGUGUAGGGGUAAAAUCCGUAGAGAUAACUAGGAAUACCAAAAGCGAAGGCGAUCUUCUGGAACAGUACUGACGCUGAGGCGCGAAAGCGUGGGGAGCAAACAGGAUUAGAUACCCCAGUAGUC